GAUGAACGCUGGCGGCGUGCCUAAUACAUGCAAGUCGAGCGAACAGACGAGGAGCUUGCUCCUCUGACGUUAGCGGCGGACGGGUGAGUAACACGUGGAUAACCUACCUAUAAGACUGGGAUAACUUCGGGAAACCGGAGCUAAUACCGGAUAACAUGUUGAACCGCAUGGUUUAACAGCGAAAGACGGUCUUGCUGUCACUUAUAGAUGGAUCCGCGCCGCAUUAGCUAGUUGGUAAGGUAACGGCUUACCAAGGCAACGAUGCGUAGCCGACCUGAGAGGGUGAUCGGCCACACUGGAACUGAGACACGGUCCAGACUCCUACGGGAGGCAGCAGUAGGGAAUCUUCCGCAAUGGGCGAAAGCCUGACGGAGCAACGCCGCGUGAGUGAAGAAGGCCUUCGGAUCGUAAAACUCUGUUAUUAGGGAAGAACAAAUGUGUAAGUAACUAUGCACGUCUUGACGGUACCUAAUCAGAAAGCCACGGCUAACUACGUG
rnacentral:rRNA from 1 species